CACUGUGGGCGUUCCUACAGUUGUUCAUAAGUCAGAGGAAUAAUCACUUUGCUUAAAAACCCUUCUCCCAUGCCAAAAGGAGAAGUGAUGACAUUGUUGGCAACAUUUUGUGCAAUGAUAUUUUCAUUAAAAUAAUUCAUGUUAAAACAUUUGUUUUCCAUUUGUUUUCCCUUUUUGCUUUUUUGCAUGAAAUUGGUGAUCACAAAAAACCCUAAAAAACAAGAAUAAAAGCAAUCUUUU
rnacentral:lncRNA from 1 species